rnacentral:rRNA from 3 species
AACUUUCAACAAUGGAUCUCUUGGUUCCGGCAUCGAUGAAGAACGCAGCGAAAUGCGAUAAGUAAUGUGAAUUGCAGAAUUCCGUGAAUCAUCGAAUCUUUGAACGCACAUUGCGCCCCCUGGUAUUCCGGGGGGCAUGCCUGUCCGAGCGUCAUUGCAACCCUCAAGCGCG